AUUGAGGGAUUCUCCUCCCAAACAGGUGUCAAACAGCACAACAGCCAUGCAGCAACAUCUGGGCUGCCCUCAACAUCUGGGCUGCCCUCAACAUCUGGGCUGGCAAAGCAGGGGAGACUCUCCAGAAAACACAGAGCUCUUCAAACACAGCCAAAUCCUUUAACUCCAGAACACCAAAGGAUGAGGAGGUUUGGAAGCCGCUACAGGAACUUGGAACAGGAAAAAUGAGAUGCACAAUUCCACAAGGAUUAUCCCCAGUGCUUCUUUCUGCACAGGGUUUCCUUUCACUCAGCACCAUCAGAUGGAUCAAAACAGGAUCAGAAAAUAAAGGAUCAUAUGAGAGAGGAGAGGGGAUGGAUUGGGUCAAGGAGUUCCCAGCAGCGGGGUGAAUAAAAGGAUUUAAACAAGUCCCAAAAAA